AAGACACCCCCCCCCCCCCGUGUCACUGCCGUGCCCCCUCCUCGCUGCGCCCCACUACAUGCGACCCCCCUGUGUGCAUGCGAGACAUCUCUGGCAGUCGCCAGGUUAUGUGGUGAUUAGUGACCACCGUUGUGAGAAUUACUAUCGGAGGGUAGAUCUGUGUUUAAGAACCAAAAAGCUGCUUUAAGGUUUUGUAAAAACCUAGUGUGGGCGGGAUAAAGUAAAAGUGCAACGUGCCCUGUCUACACUAGGAUUUUAUAACCUGUUAGUUGGCACAUUAUAAACAACACAUCUUUUCCUUAGUGGAGACACAGAGAUGUAGUUUGGCAAUUUGAAUGUCCAAAAGUGUUCUUCCCUUGAAACACCAGGGAGCUAAAUCGCCUAUCUUAAGAAGGUGAGAGAUUGUAACUUCUGCCCUUGCUCUAGAAAAUGAGCCUAGGGAGAGGAGGUGUCCCUGUGAGAGGCAGCAGGGAGAAAAUUGCUGGAGGAAGGUACAGAUAUCAUAAUCUAGACAUUUGUCCUUAUCUUUAUUGGAGAUUUUUAUAUUAGGAAAAAAUCUAUUUCAAAUUGUGCUUAAGUGAAUGUUAUAAUUUCCCUCACCCUUGCUGAUCUAGCAGUGGCAAAACUAACUGAUAAAUGAAUCCAAAACAGUGUAUAGCAGUACUUGAAGUAUUUUGAGGUUAGGCUUAGGCCUUGUCUACACUGCAGGCACUACAGUGGCAUAGCUACCGGAAGUGGAAGGGUUUUUCCUUUUGCUGUAGGAACACCAAUUUCCCAAGCAAUGACAGCUAGGUCGACAGAAGAAUUCUUUCCUUGACCUCACUGUGUCUGCACCAGAGAUUGGGUUGGCAUAGCUGUGGUGCUCUGGAGGUGUAGAUUUUUCACAACCCUGAGUGUCACAUCUGUGUCAACCUACAUUUUAGGUGUGUAGACCAGUCCUCUGAGCAUGUGAAGAAUUUUUUUUCAAAAAUUCUUCAUCAUAUACCUGAUAUUGGACUGUGAGAUAUGCAGGAUUUGUAUAUGUAGGCUUACUGUCAUACAGUGCGUAUUCCUAAAAUCCCAAACACAAACUUCAUUUUAGUAAACACUGAAGAAAUGCUAGUGUCAGACACCUCCAAUCACAUUCUUUCUUAAAUCUGCUGUUACUAAACUGAAAUGUUUUAUAUAGAAAUAUGUACUUUAAAAAAAUACUUGUAAGAAUAAAUAGCUUCAAAUGAAUGUUGGGUUCCUGAGGAAUCCCAGUGCUAUAACUUCACAAGCUGCACGCACACAGUCGUCUAUUCCCACUGUAAUGAAAUCUGUAGCUUUUGGAAUGUCAUUUAAAAGAGAGAUCAGUGACAAUGCUUCUGGCUUAAAUUACCAGUGCUGUUACCCUGCCUUACUAAAAUAAGUUUUAGCUAAUGUAGUAAGAGUCCCACUGAGGAGCAAGCCCUUGAGAAUAUUCUUGCUGUGUAGAGAGGCCACAUGGAUCUCUGACUGAAGGAAUUGGCAGUGGUCUGGCUUUCUUGACUUCAGGAUUAUUUGGGACCAAAACUGGGAUGGAGGGAGAGAGAAGUUUAUAUACCCUCCCUUCCACUUUUUUCUUCCGGACUUCAGCAUUUAAAAGAAGAAAGUUUUGCGCUAAAACUCAUUUGCCUCAAUUUUCUUAGUGUAGUCUGAAGUGAGUAGGAAAGGAAAGUGAGUCUAAUUAGAAAAGUGCCAGCAGUGAAAUGUGAGUUUUAUAAUUGAAGCCUAGCCUCCUAUUUCUCAGGCCAGGGAUAGUAGGGUGUGAGAAUGGUAAGAAUUCUGGAUAUCAAGAUAUGACUAUACCAGGAUAACUCCUUACGCCGGUAUGUCUACACUGCAGUUAAACACCUGCUGCUGCCCUGUGGGCCCCAGUCAGCUGGCACAGGCUUUGGGCGAUAGGGUUGUUUAAAUGCAUGGUUUAAUUGCAAUGUAGAUGUUUGGGCUUGGGCUGCAGUCUAAGGCUCUGGGACCCUCCCACCUUACAGGGUCUAGAGCCUAGGCUCCAGCCCAAGCCCAAAUGUCUACACCACAUUUAAACAGUUCCACAGCCUGAGCCCUGCGAGCCCAAGUCAUCCAGCAUGGGCCAGCCCACAGAUGUGUUUUUUUGUUUUUUGUUGUUUUUUUUAAAUUGCCAUGUAGAUGCAGUCUAUGCAGACAGAAGGUGGUUUUGUUUGUUUGGUGUAGGAAUACCAUUUCCCCCCCAAACGGUGGUAGUUACAUCAACAGAAGCAGUCUUCCUUCAGCAUAGCUGUGUCUAGACUGGGUAUUAGGUCAGCAUAACUAGAUUGGUCAGGGAUGUGGUUUUUUUCCCCUCCAUUCCUAACCACGUAGCUGUGUUGACCUAACUUUUAAGUGUAGAUCAGGCCUCCGUGGAAGUCGGCACAACCAAUCUGAUUCAGCAUCCAGAUUGCCAUAGAAGGGAAUUGGAGUCAGGAAAAGCAGAUUUUGUUUAAAAGACAGCUUGGGAAAGGGGGAAGUUAACCAAAGAAUAAAAGUAGUUCAUCUUUUAAAGGGAUGGAGAAAAUUUGGAACGCUCAGACCAUGCAAAUGUGUACAAUAUCUAAUCUCUCAUUAUGAGAGACUAGAUACUGUAAUUCUAAGAUGCAUUUAGAAGCUGAGCCUAUAGGUAGGUCCUUAUGGAUUCUGUGACUGUGAAAUUUGCUGUGGAAUUCAGCCUUUCCUACAGAAUUGUGCUCCAGGAUCUCAGUUUACUUAAUUUUUUUUCUAGACCUUAUGGUUUCAAACAUAACUUUGAGAAUGUGAACUGUGCAAACCAAUGUCUGAACCUGAAACAAUGGUCCUGAGAGAUGUGAACAUCCCAAAUCAUCUAAUUUAGAACCUCAGACUGAUUGUGCGGCUGUAGAAUCUAGCAUUUUUCCAAGAUCCAACAGAAUUUAGUACUUUUUCUGCUACUGGGCACCCAAUGUUUUGUUUUGUCUCCCUGCCCUGCUGGGACAUGUCAACAGCUGCCAAGGAGCCAGAGCUUGAGUUCAGUUUGCAGCCAGGGAGUGAAAGGAGCCAAUACUGCAGGCAGGCCAGCUAGGCUGCUUAGAUGAGAAUACAGCAGCAGCUGAGGCCUGAGGAGGUAAAACAAACAGAUUAAUAUUCCCCCAGAAUUUAGGAGUCUUACCUGCAGAAUUUUGUUCCAUUGUGCCACAGGUUACAUGUACCCUGCUUAUAGGGAUCAAGCACCUUUCUUAAAGGGACAUUAGAGUUCACACUUCUGAUUAAAAGUAUGCUAGGUACACAGUUUUCAAGUAAUAUCCAUUGUUACUAUGAUUGAAAGAUACUGGUAAAAGUGUUUCAGGUUUUUAGUACGCAGUGAUUUUCAUAUGGCACUUUUGUUGAUUUUCCUUGUAUAAUCAGUCAUUUUCUCCCCCUGUGUAAAGAUCCUUUAUAAACAUCAACAGAGAUGCAGAAAAAUAUUAUAAAUUUUCUUUUAAAAAUAAAAUCAGGGCAUAUUGUUUAAAGGACACUCCAUCAGACAGGAAUUUUACAAAUACUAUUCCAUUUAAAAAUGCAAGUUGAUAGUAUCCUUUAAAACACUUUUAAAAUAAAUCCUUUUAUUCUUCUUGGAAACUGCAUUUUAUCUGUAUGGAAUGGAAAAGGGAAAUGGUAAUGGAGUAUGGAGGCUCUUAAUGCUUAGUCUGUAGUUCAGAUCUUUUGCAAGUCUGUAGUGGCAAAAUCUGAUUGUUGCUUGACGUAAGUCAAAGGAGUGGAGGGUACCGGUCCAUGUUGCAUUAUAAAAGAACAGCAUUUGGUACCUGUGCUAAUGUUAAUCAUAGAGAGAUUUGCAAAGUGAAUUACCCAGUCACAUCUAGGCCUUGUCUAAAUUGGUGAAAUUUGACAUGCUAACUGCUGUUGGAACCUGAAACAUACCAUAUAUCUGCAUGGGUGUGCUGCACUUACUCUGAAAAGACCAACAACAGUGACAUCUGUCACUAUGUUGAUUGGCACUAGCAGGCUCAGUGUCAGCAUAGACAGCAGGGACUAAUAUAAGCAUUUCACUGGUAUAAUAAGUCCUUCCACUACCAUCCACAGUGUACUGGGCACUACUUAUGUAGCUCAGCUUAUCUAUCUUCUGGUCCAAGGGCAAGAUUUCUGAAAUUCUUCACUUGUAUAAAUAGCUCUUCACACCCUCUAGAUCUCAGUGUGCACUUUUUAUGAAUAGUAUUGACUUCUUUGCGACUGCUGUGUGUUAACAAGUCUACCUCAGAAUGUCUCAGAAGAAGACAACACUGUAUACGUGUGCUGCCAGCUGGCCUAAGGCAAUGAUCCAGGUGCUUAUAAAUAUCUACCUUAGGUAGGCUGUGUAAACUGUAACAUCCUGGUGUACGUCUUUGUGUCUGAACAAUUGCACACCUAUGGAGGCUGAGAUAAUGGUGGACAACAUCCAGACACAUGAAAAUGGGCUGUUGAGGGACCAGCAGGAUGGGGAGGAGAGUUCCAUCUCCAUUGCCCUCUCUGGACUGGGGCCCAGCAAUAUCUGAUAAUCUGAAGAGGUCUUGGGAUGACAGCCGAGACUUGCGGGCUGGAGAGGACAAUGACCCUGGAGGCAAGAGAACAUCUACACAAGAGACCACUUCUGCAACAAGGGUGUAGUUGAGAAAUGCUGGCAUGUUACACAGAAGGACUUGGGAGCACAAGUGACGGAGUGCUUGACAAAUCAAAGGACAACGAGAUGAGCCAAGAGAAGAUCUAUUCCUUCCUUCAGAGGGUUGUGAAAAAAGACUGACAGAAUUUAAGUUCAAGGAUGACAGUUCUACCACUUCUGAAUAUCAUGGCAGACCUAGACCAGCAAAGAGAGAAUCCAUUAUGGACUCCAUAUAUCCUGAUACAGUAAUGGGGGACUGCAAGAGCUCUACUGUAAGGUGGUACAUGCAACAUCAAAGGCAGCUUAGUCAGUUAACCCAUUCAUGGGUCCCUGCACCUGUUCAGUAUUCUUGGCGCAGUGCUGUGAUAUAGGACAGCAGAAGCUCUUAUUGAGCUGCACAAUGUUCACCUGCUCUUUCCUGUAAGUCCUAAAACACUCCAUUCCUGCCUGUAAGGUGGACAUGAAUUUCAUGCCUCAGUAGGCCAGAAAACAGAAUAGAGUUGGUUACUGUAGAUGGCUUGCAUAUUAAAAUUCAUUUAGCAUUAUUUAUCUCUUAAAGUACAACAAGUGUUUGUUCUUCCUUUUUGAAGACAAAACUAUUUCAGUAAUCCGUUACCUUCCUCAACCAAAACGAUACAUUCAGAAAAAUAUUAUAAAAAGAAAAGUACUCCCGUUUCACGAGGUCGAAGCUUAUGUGGGAAAAUAUUUAGUAGCAUAAAAUGCAUAAUUAAAUGUUAGCUAUUUAGCUGCCUCAGUGAAGUCUAUGCCCCCAAACGUGUUCUGUGGAAGGGUUUAAUGUGUUAAAACCAUUGUCUUAUAGCUGUAACAUUGUGGUUUAGUGUUUUAAUGAGUAGGCUUGUAUAACUUUAUGGGAACAACCACCAUAAAACCCUUUUAACCAUUUAUUAAAUACAUAAUGUGAAAACCUA